UAAAAGAAGAUUGUGUAUUUUGUAUUUAUUUUUUUAGGAAACUCAGAGAUUUCUACCUUCAUGAAAGGCCCAUGUAUUCUCCUAGAGAGCCUGAAGUCUCCACUAAACCCAUUCUUCUGUUUAGAGGCUUAAAGCCCUGAAGUUGGUGUCUCUGCUUAGAAGAACAAGUGUGAUUCUGUCACCCUUCUUGGGGCAGGAGACCUUUAAGUGUGUUUUGUACAACCCCACACACAUCAGGUAGGCAGGGACCUACUGGACCAUCUGUGGGUUCCCUGUGUGCACAGGUCAUAAGUUCUCACAUUGUUUCCAGAUUCACUCCUUGAUUUGAAGUCCUUUCAUUCAUCUGUUUUGACAGCUUGAGAUGGUGGGUACUUGAGAGG
rnacentral:lncRNA from 1 species